UGGGGAAUCUUCCGCAAUGGGCGAAAGCCUGACGGAGCAACGCCGCGUGGGUGAAGAAGGCCUUCGGGUUGUAAAGCCCUGUCUUCAGGGACGAAAAAAAUGACGGUACCUGAGGAGGAAGCCACGGCUAACUACGUGCCAGCAGCCGCGGUAAUACGUAGGUGGCAAGCGUUGUCCGGAAUCACUGGGCGUAAAGGGCGCGUAGGCGGGGUUUUAAGUCAGAUGUGAAACCUGCAGGCUCAACCUGGAGCAUGCAUCUGAUACUGGGACUCUUGAGUGCAGGAGAGGACAGUGGAAUUCCUAGUGUAGCGGUGAAAUGCGUAGAUAUUAGGAGGAACACCAGUGGCGAAGGCGGCUGUCUGGACUGUAACUGACGCUGAAGCGCGAAAGCGUGGGGAGCAAACAGG
rnacentral:rRNA from 2 species